GAAGUCGUCUAUUGUCAAAACAUGUUGAAGCAAUUAUUUGUACUAGCAGAUGGAUGCAUGGGUUUCGUGAAUAUGAUGAUGAUGAUGAUGACAAUGGAAUAGCUGAGGGUAGUACUUCUAAGGCUGCAUCUAAUAACCCUGGCACUGAAUUGGAUAUUGAUGAAAAUUGAAGCUUGCACUUUGGUUAUGUUCCAUGCCUAAAGUACUCUCAUUCAGAC